AGAGUUUGAUCCUGGCUCAGGAUGAACGCUGGCGGCGUGCCUAACACAUGCAAGUCGAGCGUGAAGUCUUGGAAUGAUACUUCGGUAAAGUGAAGAGAUGGAAAGCGGCGGACGGGUGAGUAACGCGUAGAUAACCUGCCUCAUACACAGGGAUAGCCUAGGGAAACCUGGAUUAAUACCUGAUAAUGCGAGAAUGUCACAUGAAAUUUCGCCAAAGAUUUAUCGGUAUGAGAUGGAUCUGCGUCUGAUUAGUUAGUUGGUGAGGUAACGGCUCACCAAGACAGCGAUCAGUAGCCGACCUGAGAGGGUAAUCGGCCACAUUGGAACUGAGACACGGUCCAAACUCCUACGGGAGGCAGCAGUGGGGAAUAUUGCACAAUGGGCGAAAGCCUGAUGCAGCAACGCCGCGUGAGCGAAGAAGGUCUUCGGAUCGUAAAGCUCUGUCCUUGGGGAAGAAAAAAAGACGGUACCCAAGGAGGAAGCCCCGGCUAACUACGUGCCAGCAGCCGCGGUAAUACGUAGGGGGCAAGCGUUAUCCGGAAUUAUUGGGCGUAAAGAGUACGUAGGUGGUUUUGUAAGCAUGGGGUGAAAGACCGAAGCUCAACUUCGGUUAGCCUUGUGAACUGCAAGACUUGAGUGCAGGAGAGGAAAGUGGAAUUCCUAGUGUAGCGGUGAAAUGCGUAGAUAUUAGGAGGAACACCAGUGGCGAAGGCGACUUUCGGACUGUAACUGACACUGAGGUACGAAAGCGUGGGUAGCAAACAGGAUUAGAUACCCUGGUAGUCCACGCCGUAAACGAUGAGCACUAGGUGUCGGGGUCGCAAGGCUUCGGUGCCGCAGUUAACGCAUUAAGUGCUCCGCCUGGGGAGUACGCACGCAAGUGUAAAACUCAAAGGAAUUGACGGGGACCCGCACAAGCAGCGGAGCAUGUGGUUUAAUUCGAAGCAACGCGAAGAACCUUACCAGAGCUUGACAUCCUUUGACCGGUCCGUAAUGGGACCCUCUCUUCGGAGCAAAGGUGACAGGUGGUGCAUGGUUGUCGUCAGCUCGUGUCGUGAGAUGUUGGGUUAAGUCCCGCAACGAGCGCAACCCUUGUCAUUAGUUGCCAUCAUUCAGUUGGGCACUCUAAUGAGACUGCCGGUGACAAACCGGAGGAAGGUGGGGAUGACGUCAAGUCCUCAUGGCCCUUAUAGGUGGGGCUACACACGUCAUACAAUGGCUGGUACAAAGGGUUGCAACCCGCGAGGGGGAGCUAAUCCCAUAAAGCCAGUCGUAGUCCGGAUCGUAGUCUGCAACUCGACUACGUGAAGUCGGAAUCGCUAGUAAUCGUGGAUCAGAAUGUCACGGUGAAUACGUUCCCGGGUCUUGUACACACCGCCCGUCACACCAUGGGAGCGGGUCUCGCCAGAAGUAGUUAGCCUAACCGCAAGGAGGGCGAUUACCACGGCGGGGUUCGUGACUGGGGUGAAGUCGUAACAAGGUAACC
rnacentral:rRNA from 1 species